rnacentral:rRNA from 1 species
CCUACGGAGGCAGCAGUGGGGAAUAUUGGACAAUGGGGGGAACCCUGAUCCAGCCAUGCCGCGUGUGUGAAGAAGGCCCUCGGGUUGUAAAGCACUUUCAGUGAGGAAGAACGCCUGGUGGUUAAUACCCAUCAGGAAAGACAUCACUCACAGAAGAAGCACCGGCUAACUCCGUGCCAGCAGCCGCGGUAAUACGGAGGGUGCGAGCGUUAAUCGGAAUUACUGGGCGUAAAGCGCGCGUAGGUGGCUUGAUAAGCCGGUUGUGAAAGCCCCGGGCUCAACCUGGGAACGGCAUCCGGAACUGUCAAGCUAGAGUGCAGGAGAGGAAGGUAGAAUUCCCGGUGUAGCGGUGAAAUGCGUAGAGAUCGGGAGGAAUACCAGUGGCGAAGGCGGCCUUCUGGACUGACACUGACACUGAGGUGCGAAAGCGUGGGUAGCAAACAGGAUUAGAUACCCUAGUAGUC